UACAGAGGUGGCAAGCGUUGUUCGGAAUUACUGGGCGUAAAGGGCGCGUAGGCGGCUUGGUCAGUCCCGUGUGAAAUCCCUCGGCUCAACUGAGGAACUGCACGGGAAACUGCCUGGCUUGAGUUCGGGAGAGGGAAGCGGAAUUCCGGGUGUAGCGGUGAAAUGCGUAGAUAUCCGGAGGAACACCGGUGGCGAAGGCGGCUUCCUGGACCGACACUGACGCUGAGGCACGAAGGCCAGGGGAGCAAACGGG
rnacentral:rRNA from 1 species